rnacentral:rRNA from 1 species
UGGGGAAUAUUGGACAAUGCGCGAAAGCCUGAUCCAGCCAUGCCGCGUGUGUGAAGAAGGUCUUCGGAUUGUAAAGCACUUUAAGUUGGGAGGAAGGGCAUUAACCUAAUACGUUAGUGUUUUGACGUUACCGACAGAAUAAGCACCGGCUAACUCUGUGCCAGCAGCCGCGGUAAGACAGAGGGUGCAAGCGUUAAUCGGAAUUACUGGGCGUAAAGCGCGCGUAGGUGGUUUGUUAAGUUGGAUGUGAAAUCCCCGGGCUCAACCUGGGAACUGCAUUCAAAACUGACUGACUAGAGUAUGGUAGAGGGUGGUGGAAUUUCCUGUGUAGCGGUGAAAUGCGUAGAUAUAGGAAGGAACACCAGUGGCGAAGGCGACCACCUGGACUAAUACUGACACUGAGGUGCGAAAGCGUGGGGAGCAAACA